rnacentral:lncRNA from 1 species
GGAUUAUGGAUUUAAGACUUACGGUUUAUUGUUUAUUGUUUAAGGAUUGAGGUUUAAGGUUUAUAGUUUAUAUAUGUUUUAUGAUUUAAGGUUUAGGAUUUAGGGUUUAUAUAUGUUCUAUGAUUCAGGGUUUAAGGAAUAUGGCCGAGUUAGGGGUUUAGGGAUUAUGGUACAAUAGUUAGGGUUUAAGAUUUAAGUGUUUAGGGUUAAAGGUUAGGGAUUUAGAGGUUUAUAGUUAAUGUUUUAUGAUUGAAGGUUUAGGGGAUAUGGUUAAGGGUUUAUGUAUUAUGGUUUGUGGUUUUUCAUUUGAGGUUGGGGCUUAGGGUGUAGGUGUUAGGGGUUAAGGGUCAUGGUUUAUGAUUUAUAGGUUUAAGAUUUAGGGUUGAAGGGAUAAGAGGGUCCAAGUCAAUUUAGGGUUAAGGGUUUAGGGUUAAGGGUUAAGGGUUAAGGGUUAAGGGUUUAAGGUCUAAUGAAUAGAUUUUAC